UAAGAAUCCUGCGUUCAAUGAAUAGUGAACUCUGUGGUUGUGACAUCAGCUCUGGGUCCCAGUCUACAUUCCGUGGCAGCCUGGCUCCAACAUCCCAGGGAAUUGUGUCACUCCCAUUGAGCAGCUGUGGGGCCCUCUCCCACAUGGCCCAGGUCCACCACUCUGUCAAAGGUCGCACAGCCCAGACAAAAACAGGACACAGCAGUGUGUGAAUGAGCCGGGCUUUCUCCUUCCCUCCACGUAAUAGAAGGUGCCUGAGGUUGUUGAAACACAGUCCAUUUCUCCUGGGAAUGACAAGAAUUUGAGGGAUGCUGACUUUCAAGGAAUACUGCAUGACAGGCAUCAAGAUAAACCUGAUGAAGAAAACAUAGGCCAGAAUCUGGGAAUCGGGAGCAAAGUAAUACAGCUUCGGGGACAGGCACGUAAUGAGGUCAUGAUGUAGGAGACUCCCUGCAGGACUGGCGGCCCCUGUUCCCUGGGUUGUUCUGGCUCUUUCAGAACCUGACCCUGGAACAGGACUGAGCAGGUGCCUGUGUGCACAGAAGACCUUGUGUGAGUCCUUUGGUACCACGUUUGCUGCACGAAUGUCUGAGACACCUCACAGUCGCUUGGUUCAGCCUCUCCCUCCUCUCUCCGCUGGGGAACAUCAUCCCUCAUCACUGGAAGAAAUUACAAGGAUUGUGUAAACAAUUACAAGUAUUCUACAAACAGUGAGCAUGCUGGUUUGGCCCAUCUAUUUGUAAGAAAAAACAUGGGGUUUUAUGGCAAUGAGUUACAGCUCUGAACUCCUGGCACAAUCACAAAUAUCCUCAGCACAAAACACCAAGUGUAUGUCUCCCUUCUGUCCUAAAAGGGUAGUGUGUGCAACUCAUUGAUGGGGCUCCCAUUUCAUUUUUGAAAGAUCUGCUCACUGAUAAUACCAGUGAGAUUGUUUUCACCAAGAUCUAUGACAUACAAAUAAACUGUUGCUUCAAAAGCAUCUAGCGGCCAAUUGCUGAUCAUCCAAGUGACAAAAAGCUAACUACUUCAUUCCUAAUUAUUACUGCACACUGCUCACAAGCAUCUCUCAAUCCGUUACCAAUUUUAUCCUUGACUCCUGAUGAAACACAAAUCUCUUUGAUCAGGUUAUCACAUGGCAUAGGUGCAAUGGUGGUUGCUUCAGGGGAAAUAAUUUAAUUCAAGUACUUUGCAGUUUGCUAGGUGCCCUGGGGCAUAGUAUUCUUUGGGCCUCCUAAGGUUCUGAUGGUGAUGAACUGAUUUAACGUAUAGAAUAGUUUUUAAAUGUGAAGUGCUACAGGGACCACUAUGCAGGGAGCUGAAGGGCUAUUGAGCUGGACACUUGAGCAUUGGCUGCAUUGAAUGAUAAAUAUUGCACAAUAUUUCUCUUCCUCAAAAUAGAAAAUGACAAUGGAAAACUUUUAAUAAUGUCAACAUUGGUGACUAGAAAUACAUAUGUGCCUCCUUAUGAAAGCAGGGGUGGUGACUGAAUAGAAUUGUUUUGUUUUUAGAGAACGAUGUUUUUCUUUUUGUUUUUUCUUCUUUUAUAGUAUUUUACUUAAAAAUCCAAGUAAUAGUAUUCUACUGUAUUGCCUUGAAGAAGUAAAUUGAGAAAAGUCAGAACACUUAUGUAUUUUUAUUUAAAAACGAACGUUUUAGUCAGCACCCAAUGCAACAAAAGCAAACUAGAAAUUGCAUGUCAGCAAUAAAAUAACCAGGUUCUUAGAAGGGCGGCCUAAGUCAGCUCUACAGAUUCUCACCUUUGCUGAUUUAGCCGCAUGGAACCUAAUUAAUGGGUAGAUUAUACAUUUGCUCAACAAGUAUUAAUGGAGGUACUUGAAUGAACUGACAGGGCCCAGCCUUAUGCAGUGGUCCUCAAAGGCUUGUUCAUAUCUUGAUUUGGACAUCAAAAGAGAAGGCCGUCGCAGGAAAUCGGAGACCUUGAGCCUUUACAUGUCCACCUCAGAGACUAGACGUAACUGCCUGCUAGAAAUAGUGGCGUGAGGAAUGCGAAAGGGAGAAGUUGUUUGAAGGAUCUCAGACUCCAUGCCGUGUACUUUGAAGAUGAGCUUUAGAAAUUGCACAUCAAUAGUUACUGCAGAAGGAGCAAUAGGAACUGAGAACAUCUCACGCGGCUUAGUGCGACCGAUAAACACCAGCUGAAGCUUGUGUCCUGCACAAUAAACCUUAUUUGCUGAUCUCUGAAGGUGCAAAGCAGGGCACUACUGCUCAGCAGCCUCUGAUGACGAUUUAUAUGUUAACAAGCUGAAUUCCUGCUUCAUCUGGAGGACUGCACAGUGUAUCUGAGAGAGGAUUUUCAGGAGGCCAGAAAAUCAAGCUGGAGGGAUUUUCAGCGUGUUGGGAGAUUGCUACCUGUUUUAAGUCAGGCCAUUGCCACGUCUUUUUCCCCACCUUGGAGACUUCAGCAAAUUGCUCAAAUGUCGGUGUGCUCUCAUGAACAGAAACGAUGGCACGGUGGGUCCUGGUCUCAAGACUUCCUCUCAAUGAUUCAGAGGUCUUGGGGGUUUUUUGUCUGAAUAUCAGGCAAAGAGGAAGGACGGCUACAAUGGAGGAGUCUCCUACCACGCUUGUGGUCGUCACUGUAGUGCUCAGUUGAAUGGUGUGUCCAUUGGGGUUGGAGUCCCCAUCCUGUUCUGGGUCCUGGCCCCCCACAGGCUCCAGGGACAUAACCCUUCCAGUUCAGGAUCAUGUGCUGGGGCACUGUUCCCUGAGGUGGGACUCUGGGCUGUAACAGCUGCUUUUGAAGCAUGUUCCAGCUUCAACCACGUGCUUGGACGACACCAGCUCUUCCCACAUACUCUUCCCCAGCUCUUGUGUUGAGUUUGGCUUCCACCUUCCUCCAGCUGGGUCUCGCUAUGUUGCCCAAGCCAUUCUGGAGCUCCUGCGCUUAAGUGAUCCUCCUGCCUCAGCCUCCCAAGUAACUGGAAUUAUAAAUGUGAGCCACUGUGCCCAGCAAUUACAAAAUUUUUGGAAUGCAAUUGGGAAGUACAGCUGAAAAACUUCAGCAACGUGGGCUGUUUGAUUGUACAAUCGCACUUCUUGGAAUUUAUCCUACAGAAAUCAGUAGUCAAGUUCACAAAAACUGACAAUAGCCAUUACAGAGAAGCAGAAGAAAGGGAAAUAAAAACAUUCAAACCUACCAACAGGAGAUUGGACAAAUAAAUCAUGUUAUAACUAUACAAUGGGCUAUUAUGUAACCAUUAAAAUGAUCAUCUAUUCUAGAUCUAUACUUAUUGCAAUAUAAUAAUAACCAUAAUAUAUAGUUAUUUGAUAAAAGAAGGUAGCACAUGUGAGGUAGUACAUCUCAUUUCUAUUAGAAAAAACUACACACAAACACAAACAUCGAAGAAAGGGAUCUGGGAAGAGAAGACAAGAAGCUCCCGGUGCAUUGCUCGGGAGAAACACAACCUAUGCCGUCAGUAACUAAUUCCCAGGGCGACAUCAUUGGCAAUUUCACUUAUUUAUGUUUUUCAAUAUUGAUUAUAUACAUAUAUAUAUAUAUAUAUAUACAUAUUUAACCAAGAUAUUAUAAGAUUAUUUUUAUUUUUUUGAUUACCAUUUGUGUGAUUGUGGUUCCCAAGUGCCAGGCUCCACAGAAAGUUUUACAAUCAUUUACAGCUGAAGUCUCAAAACUGCCUCAGGUCAGAAUCACCGCGAUUCUGUGCUUUUAUAAAUGAGGCAUGCAGAAUUGAAACAAUUUUACAAGUUCAUAAAACUAGUGACCAGUGGAGCUGGUAUUUGAACCCUGACCGUCUUGUAUGAUCAUGAAUUAUUCUCA
rnacentral:lncRNA from 1 species